rnacentral:rRNA from 1 species
AUUGAACGCUGGCGGCAGGCUUAACACAUGCAAGUCGAGCGGGGUGAUGGUGCUUGCACUAUCACUUAGCGGCGGACGGGUGAGUAAUGCUUAGGAAUCUGCCUAUUAGUGGGGGACAACAUCUCGAAAGGGAUGCUAAUACCGCAUACGUCCUUCGGGAGAAAGCAGGGGAUCACUUGUGACCUUGCGCUAAUAGAUGAGCCUAAGUCGGAUUAGCUAGUUGGUGGGGUAAAGGCCUACCAAGGCGACGAUCUGUAGCGGGUCUGAGAGGAUGAUCCGCCACACUGGGACUGAGACACGGCCCAGACUCCUACGGGAGGCAGCAGUGGGGAAUAUUGGACAAUGGGGGGAACCCUGAUCCAGCCAGGCCGCGUGUGUGAAGAAGGCCUUAUGGUUGUAAAGCACUUUAAGCGAGGAGGAGGCUCUUUUGGUUAAUACCCAAGAUGAGUGGACGUUACUCGCAGAAUAAGCACCGGCUAACUCUGUGCCAGCAGCCGCGGUAA